rnacentral:rRNA from 1 species
CCUACGGGAGGCAGCAGUGAGGAAUAUUGGUCAAUGGACGAGAGUCUGAACCAGCCAAGUAGCGUGAAGGAUGACUGCCCUAUGGGUUGUAAACUUCUUUUAUAUGGGAAUAAAAUGUUCCACGUGUGGGAUUUUGUAUGUACCAUAUGAAUAAGGAUCGGCUAACCCCGUGCCAGCAGCCGCGGUAAUACGGAGGAUCCGAGCGUUAUCCUGAUUUAUUGGGUUUAAAGGGAGCGUAGGUGGAUUGUUAAGUCAGUUGUGAAAGUUUGCGGCUCAACCGUAAAAUUGCAGUUGAAACUGGCAGUCUUGAGUACAGUAGAGGUGGGCGGAAUUCGUGGUGUAGCGGUGAAAUGCUUAGAUAUCACGAAGAACUCCGAUUGCGAAGGCAGUUCACUGGACUGCAACUGACACUGAGGCUCGAAAGUGUGGGUAUCAAACAGGAUUAGAUACCCCUGUAGUC